UCUCUGAUAGUAUAUCGGUUAGUACACGCGCCUGUCACUCAGAUUUCGCGCGAAAGCUGGGUUCGACUCCCAGUCAGAGAG